GUACACUCCUGCGGGAGGCAGCAGUGGGGAAUUUUGGACAAUGGGCGAAAGCCUGAUCCAGCAAUGCCGCGUGUGUGAAGAAGGCCUUCGGGUUGUAAAGCACUUUUGUCCGGAAAGAAAUCCUUGGCUCUAAUACAGUCGGGGGAUGACGGUACCGGAAGAAUAAGCACCGGCUAACUACGUGCCAGCAGCCGCGGUAAUACGUAGGGUGCGAGCGUUAAUCGGAAUUACUGGGCGUAAAGCGUGCGCAGGCGGUUUGCUAAGACCGAUGUGAAAUCCCCGGGCUCAACCUGGGAACUGCAUUGGUGACUGGCAGGCUAGAGUAUGGCAGAGGGGGGUAGAAUUCCACGUGUAGCGGUGAAAUGCGUAGAGAUGUGGAGGAAUACCGAUGGCGAAGGCAGCCCCCUGGGCCAAUACUGACGCUCAUGCACGAAAGCGUGGGGAGCAAACAGGAUUAGAAACCCGGGUAGUCCCAUGAU
rnacentral:rRNA from 1 species